rnacentral:lncRNA from 1 species
GGGAGAAUAUCCAAAUCAUUCAAAAAUUGAACAAAGUAUCAAAAUUUAAGAUACAGUUAACAUCAUCAUUCAUCAGGUUCAGUCACAUAAAAUGCACUUAUUGGAAGCAACUAAUAAAAUGACACAUAUUGACACUUCUAGAGACUUAUUAAAUAUAUAUAAGUUUUAAGAGAAUAUAUAUAAGCUAUCUUGACCAUACCAAAUAAUAUAUAUAAUUACACUGCAGCAACAGAAUCAAUAGCUAUCAAGUUGAAAAGUUUCAUAAAAUGCAGUUGUUGGAAGCAGAUCCCAAAUAUUCUCCACCAUCUGAGGAAUCAAAAGUACAUCUUCAUCAAAACCCUCAUAUGAGCAUCCUCCACCAGGUUCCACCACUUGAUCAACAGAAUCCACAAGAGGAGGCACAGCCACAACCAUCUGAUCAUUUUCAUCACAACCCAUUCUAAUAUACUCAGGGUCAGCAUCGCUGAUAUCGUCGACGAACUCUUGAAAUUUCGAAGGAUCUGGCGGCGAUUCAGCGUACUGACCAGUGAGUUCUUGGACCAGUGCCAUAAAUUCAGAGGCACUUGUCUUAACCUUCAUAGGGUUGGAAAUAUAAACUACCUUGAUGGGUUUGUUGUUUUUCUUUAUGGAUUUGGUUAUUUUUGUUGGUGUCUUUUGUUGUAGAGAACUAAUCACGGAGUUUGUGCUGCUAGUGCUAAUGGUAUCCAUGGUUGUUUGCAGACAAGAACUUAGUACUAUUGGGUUUUGUUUUGUUGAAGAUAACAAGUGAAGAGGAAAAUGAAAGAGGAAAAUAAUUGUGAUGGAAGCAAAUUAAUGGAAAGUUAAAUGGAUAGCGAGGGCUAUAGGCAUAAUCCAACUCACAGCCGACACUAGCCGCGCGUGGUGUGCACUUUUUUUUCUCAUAGUUUUAUUUAUUCUUUGACAAUUUAUUUUGUGUAAGAAGCUAUCUAUCUCUAAACAACUAAAACAUUGUUAUAAAUUUUAUUCUUAUGAUUCAUGUUAUUUCAUUUUUUUUAAUUAUUAAUUUAUAAAUAUUUAUAAUUUAUUUAUAUUAAUAUAUAAAUAUAAAUAAAUAUCGUAGUUAAAACUGUAAGUUAAUAGCUGUUAAGUACAUACAAAUUAAAUUAUUUCAUCCACUCAUAUUUAUGUUUUUAAACUAAAUUAUAGUUUUGAUCGAAUUAUAAUUUAUUCACGAAAUUAAUCCUAUAUUUUAGUUUUUAUGUUUUGGCCCUUCUAUCCAAUUUUUGGUUAAAAAAUUCUGUAAAUUUUUUAUAUAGCAUAAUUUGAUGAUAGGGCACAACAUAUAUAAAUUAACAAAUUUUAUAUUAUUAAAAGAUAAAAUUAUAUUUAUAAAAAAAUACAACAAAAAUAUUUUAAAAAAGAAAGUAAAAUGGAAUAUUUUUCUAAUUUAAAGUUUUGAAAUAAAAAUAAUAUCUAUGAAAACCAAAUCAAUUAUGUUAUUUAAAAUUAAAGUUAUGGAAACAGAAUUAAUAAAUAUGAUAUGAAAAAAAUCAUGUGGCAAUUUAUUAUAAAUAAUAUAUUUCAUGAUAAAAUUUUCAUCUAAAUCAAUGAAAGUUCGAGAUUAAAUGACCUGAAAUACGUCAUUUUAUUUUUAUUUUUUUAAAAUCAAUCUUCUCUUUCAGUUUUGUUGAAAACGGAUAGAUUAUGUAACUCAAGGUUAGAGGUUCGAUUCUCAGCUCCUACAAAUUUAUCUUUUAUUUACAACAAAAAUUUCCCCAUUAUUGUAUUAAUCAUCUUAUACCUCGAUUGUUUGAAAACUCAACAUUAAAAGUUGAUUAAUAUUUUAUUUAAAUAAAUUGAACGCGGUUUUUACCUUGAUAUUGUUCUCUCGAUUUUUCUGAAAACCGAGAUGUAAACUCUAAAUAAUGUUUUACUCAAUCAUCUAAAUGCUAUGUUUAAUUCAUUUUUUACGCCCUAGCAUUUUUCUUCGACUAAAACAUCGUUCUUUCAACCUAACAAACUGAAACAUCAUCUUCUCUAAUGAGGAAGGAAACCUGAACCUCAAACCAACACUUUUCUGUGACUCUCUCAUCUUCUCCAGUAUGUAAUCUCAUAACAUAUUUUUGUUGUUGUUGUUGUCAUUGCUAUUGUUGUUGUUGUUGUUGCUAUUAUUGUCAUGGUUUUUGAAACUUAGGGUAUAAUGUAAUGUUGUUAUUUAGUGUUAUUGUUAUUUUCAUGUUUUUGAGACUUAGUGUAUAAUGUAGUGUUGUUUUUCAGGUAUUUGUAGUUGUUUAUUGUUUAUUAUUAUUGUUGUAUUAUUUUGGAAUGUUCAUUGUUAUUAAUGUAGCAUUAUUGAACAUUGCGAGAUAGUCCCUCAACGAUUCUGAGAGGCCUUGUCUUAUGUUGAACAAGAUGAUGGUCGACAUAUUUCUGUGAUGGUUGGCGGAGAAUUGGUGUACGAGUUUUCUCACCCAUUCUUGAUAAUUCACAAUGGAAGCUUGGAGUAAACUCAUAUACCAUCGCAUGGCGGCGUUCCUAAAGGUUCCGCAUAACAACUUAUAUUUCAGGGAGUUAGGUGCUCUGAUGAUGGUCAUCUAAGUGUUGAUGGAGGCAACGUGCUCAUAAGGGUCACUGUGCCAAUUAAACUUGGCCAAAGAGGGAGGGUGAAAUAUUUCAAGGACAAACACUUCCCAUAUUUCUUUUGAGACUGGCUAGGGAUCUAACACUUCCAUUUCUCUAGAGAUUGAUCUCUUACUGACAUAAUCGAAUAUUGAGGAUAUUAUCCUUCAGGGUUUGAUUCUGACGAUGUAGUUCAUCCACGGAGGCACGCAUCUCCUCCAUGGCAUUUACAUCACUGUUUCCCCUAGUAUCUUCUGGCAUAGGGGAAAAUGGUAUCAUGUUAACCAUGGCUAAGAAUAUUUAGGUACAUGAGCGGGGGUGACAGUGAAUAUGGUGAUUAUAGAAGAAUGUAUGACCCGGGUUAGUUUCAUUAUGACCCCACGGUGGACGCCAAUGUAAUGGUAAAGAAAACAGGUGUGCGUGGUAUCCUUACAAGGAUAAGGGAUAUUCAGAGAUCUUAGUAAAUUUAUUAUAAAAAGGGUUUUUCCGCUACGACAAAAGACCUUAUAUAUGAUGUUUUUACGAUGGUUUGAGAUGUCAACUCAUGUGAAAUGAGAAAUUCUGUAUAUUAGAUUAUAUAUGUUUAAGUUAUGUUUUUCUCAUUUCUCAUUGGGAAAAAAAUAUUUAUAAAAACUCUUGCAUAACUUUUUUCUUAAUUCUCAUUAAGAAAAAAAUACAUGCACGUAAAAUUAAAAAAUAAUGGGAAGAGAUUAUCUCCCGUGCAAUAUAUGUGAAGUGAAAUCCUAGCCCUUCUUUUUCUUAAUCAACUACAAUAAAAAUAUUUUAAAAAUGAAUCAACGGUGAGAAAAUCCAUUUUAUUUCCUCCCGUGAAACUUUCAAUGGAGACAAUCCAAAUCCACUUUUGGAAGCUAAAGACCGCGCUUAAUUAAAAAAACAAUUAAUGUGACUGGAAAAAUAACAACCCAAAAUCCAUACAGUUUUGAUGUGUUAUCCACGCGCGGGUACGGUGGAAGAAUGCAUUAGUGAUGACACCACGUGGCAGAUAAUUAAGGUGCCAGUUAGAUAUGAUGACGCCAGCAGUGGGACUCUAUAUGACGUCAUCAGACUCAACUUCCCACUUGCUAGUUGCUACUAAUCUUCUUUCAAUAUCUUGUACAGUAUGAUGAUUUUUAGGAUAGUAUUUAAGUAUUUAAAUACUCCGAUCGAUCUACUUAUAAGAGACAUAGAUACAUAAAUUGUCUUAUUUUAAAACAAAAUAAAAAUGAUUAAACCAUCAAAAUGUUGAAAUAAAAGGAAUAUCCAAGUUAAGUCACCCAAUAGUUUCAAUCUUUCAAUGUACUACUUGUUCACUCUAAGCAUGGCAAUGGAAUCCACCUACUCCCUUCAUAAUAAAUUAUUAAAUAAUGGUAAGUGUCUUAAGAGUACAAACACCCGUGAAAGAAAUAUACAAAUAGAUACUCUAUCCGUUCUUUUUUAAAUAUUAUUUUUUAUUAUUUAUAUAUAUUAAAAAAUUAAUCAUUAAUAUUAUUUUUUAAAUAAUAAUUAUUUUUUUAUCUAUAAUAUCCUUAAUUAUUUAUUAAUUUUUUUAUAACAAAAAUACAAUUAAUACUACCUUAAAUUUUAUGAGUGACAAUUAAAAAAAAUUCUUUUCCAAAAACUGACAUUUAUAAAAGAAUUGAGGAAAUAAUAUGUUAAAAAAAGUAAUUAAAAAAUUAAUUAUAAAUUAUCUGUAUUAGUAAAGUUAAUGUACAAUUUCUCAAAAAAAUAUUUAUACAUUAUUUCAAUGUGAAAAUGAAUGAUAUAUAUAUUUUGUGAAUAAAUAUAAAUUUCAUACUCAAUCUUAAAUAGGAAGAAAAAACUCAUAAAUAAUGGAGUCAUUACUAUAAAAAAGAUAUUUAAUCACGGUUGGAAGAAUAAUAUUAUUGAUGGAGGUUUGUGGUAAAGUAGUUGGUAAAGUAAAGUCUAAUAAUAAAUAUGCUAUUUACCACCACACAGUGGAAUUCGUUACAAAAAUACAGUAGUCACUACGCCAAAAAGGACUAUUAACAGCGCAUCUUAGACAGCGCUUUUAAAAGAAAGCGCUGUCUAAGGUUAAAAUAAAAAUGAAGCGCUGAAAAUGUUCCAAGAAAAUAAUGAAAGCGCUGCUCUAAGGGGGGUCUAGACCAGCGCUUUUGAAAAGCGCUGUCUAAGACCCCCUUAGACAGCGCUUUCAGAAAGCGCUUUUCUAAUAUAGACCUUUAGACAGCGCUUUUGAAAAAAAGCGUUUCUAAUACAUUAAAUUAUUUAAAAAAAAAAAAUAAAAACCAAAAAGCGCCUGUCUAAGGGGGGGUUUAGAAAGCGCUUUUGGCAACGCGCUUAUAAGGCCCCCAUUAAAGCGCUUUUCCACAAAAGCGCUGUCUAAGUUCUAAUAAUAAUUUCAGACUUUAGGCUUUCAUUCUCUGUUCUUUGUUUUGGCCUCUUCACUCACCAGCAACCUUCACUCACCUCACAGCCGCUUCCGCCGCACUCGUAUCCCCUCAAUCUCCACACCUUCCACUCUAAAGACGACAGCACACAACACACGCCUUCCACUCCACACCACCCUAUUUACGUUCACUUCGAACCCUUUAUCGCCGUCGAGGGUCCCCGCCGUCAACGAAACAUCACCCGCCGCACUCGCCUCCACGGUACGUUCUGCUCUAAAAAUGUGCUGUGUUUGAUUGUAAUGCAAUUGAGUUCAUAAUGUGCUUGUUUGGUGUUAGGCAUAUGGCUGUCCUGUAUGAACUACUCAACUGCACUGUGUCCCUUGCCGUUGGCAUCUUGAUCAAAUUUUUACUAUCUCACCACACUGUCAUUGUUAAUGUUUUUGCUAUUGCCCCGUUGAACAUCUUGACAUAAAAAUGUUAUUGAAUAAUAUUAAUUAGCACGACAUUGUUAGGGUUAACUCCAAACCAGUAACUUGAGAAAACUCGUUGAAUUUCUGCAUGACCAACUUAAUAGAUGUUGGAAUCCUGGGUAAAAAUAGCAAAUGCCUUGGAGGUUGGUUGGAGUGGAGGCCAACUAAAUGCUAUAGAACCUCUAUCAAUUUCACUUUCAAACUCUUCAUGGUUAGUUAAGAUUUAGAUAUCCAUAGUCAUGAAACUAAUACUUACGUGAUUUUUGCUUACUUUUGAGAGAAGCAUAGAAGUACUUAUUAUUACUAUCUUAAGAAAUAUAUUAGAAAUAGAGACUACAAAUAAAUAGAGACUACUUAUUAUUGCUAACUUAGAAUAUAUUAGAAAUAGAGACUACAAUAUAAUCAAUAAUAAAAGAAAAAAAAUUUAAGAAUUCGCUUUGAUUAAUAUAGAUUGGCACAAAAGAUUUCACUCACAAUAAAAAUAACAAAUAUUUCACUUUUAUCUUAUGUAUAUUAUGAUAACUUUAAUCACAAAAUAUCUUAUCUUCCCUUUUAUCUUAUGUAUGUUAUGAUCCAUUUUUUAUGCCAUCAUAAUAUUAUCAUGAAUAUUUCUCCCUAUACAAAGCGUGAUUGAAAAGGAGAAUAGUUGGAGAAUAAUAAUCUUCACCUAUUUACAACCACUUUGUUAAUAAUUUUAUAGCGACAUGGUUUAAUUGUUUACUUUAAUAAGUAGGAAAACCAUGGAUAAAACAUGGAUCUGUGCCGAUCGAUGACCAAAGAGUAACGAGAGUGGGGUUUUGGAAUGUUAAGUAUGCUGUUCAAACACGCUGAAAACCCCAGACGAAUGCAUUGUCCUUGCUUGCGUUGUUGUUAUAUUGGUAAGGUUGACGCAACAUGGUUGAAAUGCAUUUGCUGAGGCAUGGAAUUGAUCAAAGUUAUCAGUGUUGGAUAUUCAUGGUGAGAAAUUAACGAGAAUGUUGAAUCGAGUGAAAGUAGUACGACCUAUGCUUCAUAACGACAAAGACACGGAAACUACGUUGUGAUCGAGUUGAAGAGAUUGUAGAAGCACUGGAAAGAAGAUCUUCAUGAUUGUCCUGAAAUGUUGAAGGGAUGGUAAGCGAUGCUGAGAAACCGUUGUACAAGGUUCACUAAAUCUUCAAGACUUCUGCGGUAUUAAAGUUGUACAACUUAAAGGCGGUAAUGGAUGUCGAUAAAGUUUCACAGAGUUGUUGGCCCUUAUGAGAGAAAUGCUACCGGAUGAUAAUGUUCUUCCUAAUCGAACCUAUGAGGCAAAAAAAUGUUGUGCUCUAUUGGCAUGAGCUAUGAUAAGAUACAUGCUUGUCCUAACGAUUGCAUUUUGUUUCGUAACGAAUUAUGCAAUGUUAACUGAGUGCCACUAAAUGCGGUUUGUCUCGAUAUAAGAAAAGAUUAUCUCCGCAAAAGUCUUAUGGUAUUUUUCCGAUAAUUCCGAGAUUUAGGCGCAUGUUCGUAGUGAAACGAUUUGCAAACAAUCUUACUUGGCAUGCAGAUGAAAGAUUAUUGAUGGAAUGUUCGCAUCGGCUGAUUCACCAAGUGGUCGAAGAUUGAUAAUGAUUAUCCUGAGUUUGGAUCAGAAGCAAGAAACCUUCGAUUGGCAUUAUCACUGAUGGAAUGAACCACAUGGUCUCAAAGUAUCUCACAUACCACAUGGCCUGUGAUUCUUAUGAUUUAACCUACCUCCGUGCGUAUGUAGAAGCGUAAGUACAUGAUGUUAUCUAUGUUAAUCUCUGGGCCUAAACAACCAGGGAAUGACAUUGACGUAUACUUGACACCUUGAUCGAAGAUUUAAAGAUUUUGUGGGAGACGGUGUGGGAGUUUUAUGAUGGANGAGAAAAGCAUUCAAUGGAGACACCUGAGAGAGAUAGAGCUCCACCCUAUUGUCAGGUGAACAAGUUUUUGAAAAGGUGAAAGAUGUGCGUACUGAGUUUGGCAAGCCUUUUGCACAUAAGAUUGUGAAAGGUGGGUGGAAGAAAAGGUCGAUAUUUUUUGAAUUGCCAUAUUGGAAGUCUUUGUACGUGAGACAUUUUCUCGAUGUUAUGCAUAUUGAAAAAAAGUAUUUGAAAUGUUUAUCGGUACUACUCAAUAUAAAAGGCAAGUCUAAGGAUGGCCUUAAAGCAAGGGAGGACAUGUUAAAAAUGGGAUGAGAACUGAAUUAGCACCGUGAAGAAAGGAAGACGAACAUAUCUACCACCUGCUGCUUUUACUUUAUCUAGAAAGGAGAAUUUUUGUGUAAGUCUCUGAGUGAAGUUAAGGUUCCAGAAGGAUACUCAUCUGAUAUCAGAAGACUUGUUUCUAUGAAAGACCUCAAGUUGAAGAAUUGAAGACACAUGAUUGCCAUGUUAUAAUGGAACAUUUUCUACCGAUAGGUAUACGUUCUAUUUUGCCAGAAAAGUAAGAAGUGCCAUAAACUAAUGUUGUUUUUUCUUUAGGUCAAUUUUAGUAAGGUGAUCGAUCCCGAGAUCUCCAACACUACAAAAGAGAUUGUAAUUACCUUGUGUGAGCUUGAAAUGUAUUUUCCUCCGUCUUUUUGACAUAAUGGUUCAUUUAGUUGUUCAUCUUGUGAAAGAGAACAGUUGUGUGGACCCGCAUAUAUGAGAUGGAUGUACCCUGCUGACGGUACAUGAAAUAUUAAAAAGGUACGGGAAUCCCGAAGUCGACCAGAGGGUUGUAUUGUUGAACGAUACAUUGUUGAAGAAGCUGUUGGUUUUGUACUGAAUAUUUGUCUAACGUUCAAUCGAUUGGACUCCCCAGAGCUCAGAUUUUCGACAAAUGGAAGGUAAAAAAUUAAUUGGGAAUAAAAUUGUGACAAUAUCAAGGGUUGAACGGGAUCAAGUUCAUUUGAUGUUCUGCACAAUACUAAUGAGGUUGAGCCAUAUGUGAAAUGCACAAGGAAUGUACUCCGAAGGUUUAAUCCGAACAGAAAUGAAAUUGGAUAGUUAUAGAGCACAAUCAAGUUUCAUACAAUGGUGAGAUCUAUUAUUUUGAAGCGCUCUUCAGAUCCUUCUUCGGUAACAGAAAGGUUGAGAUGUUUGGCGUAUGUCGCAAGUUUGCAUGUGUUCUCAUAGCGCAUAUUCAAUUAAUGGAUACACAUUUAUACCAAAGACAAGAUGAUAAGAGUACUAUGCAAAAUAGUGGUGUCACCGUGCUAGCUGAAGCAAUGCAUAUAUCAGUAUGAAGGACUUAAACCCCAAAUAUGCAAAUUUGUCAUAUUUUGGAGUUAUUGAGCAUAUUUGGGUGUUUGAUUACGAGAAGUUUCAGAUUCCCAUCUUUGGUUGCAAGUGGGUGAGUAGUAGUGGCAUACGAAUGGAUAAGUCUGGAUUUUUGCAAGUUUUUUACUAGGUGGUACAAAGAUGACUUUUAUUCUAGCAUCUCAAGCUAAACAAGUGUUCUAUGUGAAUGACCGAGAGUACAAAAUGGCUAUAGUGCUUUUCUCUAACAAAGUGACUGAUGAUAGCGGUGUCGAUCAAUGUGAUAUUGAUGUUGAGAAUGAGUCAUGCAUUAGACGGAAUGAGUUGAAUAGAAAUGAUGAAGUUGAGGAUCUUAUACGGAUGAGUCAUAUAUAAGAAACGAUCAUAAUGAGGGAAUUUGGAUCAAUUCAUCCGUACGCUUGCUAAGAACAAGUGAUUAAUAUGCCAACAAAGAAAAGAAAGAGAUGUUAGUGAUUAGGUAAAUUAUCCAUGGUUCUUUAUGUUUUUUUUCAUUGUUUUGAUUAUAAGUUAUAUGUGGUAAUGCAUGAUUUCAUUAUAUUUUUGUAUUCAUUGCUUGAUUAUAAGUUAUAUCUGGUAAUGCAUGAUUUCUUUAUUUUUUGUUUUCAAUUUUGAUUAUAGUUAUAUUUGAUAUUUGAUGGUUUCCUUGGUUUAUUACAGGUUAGACAUGGCUGAUGACCAACAUGAGGAAGUUAGUAAAGUAUCCGCGGAAGAAGAAAUCCGAAGAGCAUCACAGUUAAUGCGAAGGUGGUCCAAGGAAGAUCUCGAGGCAUCAUCUAGAUGUCUUGGAACAACCAGGGACAACUUAUAGAACCUAAUGGCAUACCUUAACUAGUUUCAUCGGUGCACUAGGGAAGGAUGAAAUUCCAUUACGUGUGAUGAUUGAGAAAUAAAGAGUUGAAAGAGUCCAAAGAAAAAUUUGAGAUGAGAUAAAGGUACAAUCAUUUGGCCUUAAUUAUACCGUAUCAUUAUAUUUUUCAAUUACGAUACUAACUAUCAAUCUGUAUGUUUUUCUUAGCGAUGUUUUAACAUCGAAGAAGAAAGAAGAGGGUUUUGCAUGAAAUUGGCCGGAAAGCUUCUUAGAGGUUUCGGACAUUUUUUCAUCCAAGUUCCUAAGGAUCCGGAUGGUAUUUUGUGGAUGCGGAGCUUCCUAGAAAAUAUGAAAGUUGAUAUCGGCUGAAGAAUGGGAAGCUUUCAAAUCCAAAAGACAAGACCGACUUUUCAAAGAAUAGAUGCUACGAAUCGGGAAAGAGCAUCGAGUCCCGCCUAUCCGUACCGAAAGACGUGUCGGAUAUGGACGCUUAGAACAAUCCAUGUAAGUAUUUAUAAAUUGCGAAAACAAAUUUGUUCAUCAUAUAUUAGUUUUAUCUGAUCAAAUUGUAUGACUUAAUGUUAGCUGCAGAAGGAGGGAAUUCAGAAAAUCUCUUCCUGCCACAUGUUUGUGUGAGAAGCCCGUGUGGGCAAAUCGGAGUUCCUCAAGAAGACGUUUUAAACGUAUACCAGAAAUGUGUAAGUAUAACAUUUUUUCAUUAAUUGAAUAACAUUUUUAUACACAAUAUUUGACAAGUAUACGGUAUUCAUCUGAUUUUUCAGGAGGAGCUAUCUCAGACUCUAUCUCCCGAUGAUACUAAGAACAUACUUAGUCGGGCAUUAGAUGUCCCUGAGUAUUCUGGUCGGGUGAGGGUAAGGGAUUUGGAGUCACUCCGACCUCCCUCAGUGUUAGAAAAGGAAAGGCUCCUAGUAAUCGGGAGCUUCAUGCAAGAUUGGAAGCCAUGCAAGCUGUAGCUUGAUGCACUGAGGAGAGAAAGAAGAGGCUAGCGCCUCAACGGUAUACAGAGAUGCUUCGGACAAAAACAGUAUCAACUGUACCUUUCAGCCGAACAUUCCAGAGGUAAUUACAUUAUAAUGUCUUAAAUGAACUGUCUGCUUAAAUAUGUAUUUGAAUAUAUACACAUAACGAUUUCUUGUUAUUAUUGGUUUUAGGCAUUUCCCAUUGUCAGCUGUAUUUGUCGUCACCACACUAUCGGAUGGUUGGCAAGGGAAAAGUGCAUAACGUUAGCGGAGUAUUACUCCACACUAGAGAGCUCCCUGCUGGAUGUUUGAAGGUAUCAGUUGAUAUUGCAGUUGACCCGAAUGCAUUAUUACCAUAUCCUAGCGAUGAUUCGGAUGCAACAACGGUGCACGAAGCAGUAGGUUCGUUUGUUGCAUGGCCGACAAACUCAUAUGCGUAGGAUAUGAGGUAUGCUUAAAACUUAUGUUAACUUAAUGUGUAUAUUCAAAGUUUAAAAUUUAUGCUUAAAAUUUUACUUACAUAUUUCCUUGAUUAUGUUAAAUAGACUCCCACAAAAUCCAAUCAAGAAAAGAGGUAAUUACAAUUAUAUGAACUAUAUUCAUGGAAGUUGUUACAUUCUUAAUUGAUCUAACAUUUAUAUGACAUGUAGUUCAAGAAAAUGAGGUUAGCAAUGCCUCCGCACAACAAAUAAAGGAGGUUAGAACGCCUCCGCACGGGUAAAAGUUCUGGCUAAGAAGACCGUAGCUAGGAAAAACCUACACCAAGUAUAGGUCGUGCCUCAGGACAUUUAUAGAUGACCGAUAUACCGACCGGAGGUGUUCGGACUAUACAUAUGGAGGAAGGGAUUUUCGGCUUUGCUCACGACCAAAUGAUUGGAAUGAAGACUUCAUGCAAGUUUUUGGUCAUGAAGAAAUCGCCGUCAACGUUGUCAAUACAUAUAUUAGGUAAAUCCGUCUACUUUGUAUUAAUUCGGUUUACUUUAUGUUAAUCCGGUUUACUUUAUGUUUCAAAAGAGUGUUAAUGAUGUUUUUAUAUUAGGUUUUUGUAUGACAAAAUGAUGCGCCCCAAUGAUUUGGACCAGUCAUUCGAUUCUUAGCCCAGCGAGCAUCAACUUAGGUGCCAAUCUUAAAUAACCCGGAUUCCGUGACGGAGUACGUUCUUCGGAUCCUCAAUGACAUAAAAAUGCGAGAAGUUGUUUUUUAUACCGUUUAUACCGGGUUAGCAUUUCAUUCUAAAUUCAUAUAUUAUAAUUAUUUUCCAAGUUACCAUCUAACAUUUGCGCUAAUCAUUACAGUGGACAUUGGUUGUUGCUCGCAAACAUCCUAUCCGAGAAAUUGUGUAUUAUCUUGACUCGUUAGGAAAUGAUUGACAACAUACCGGAUAUGAAGCGCCUAAUUGACACGUAAGUGAGAAUGUUCAAAAUUUUCUUAGUUUAUGUUAAUUGUUCUAAUUGCUUCAUUUUUAUUUAUUAGCAUCCUACAAGCUUUUCGGGCCCAACGAGAUAUCCAAACCUCAAGGAGGGCGCCAACCGCAUUACAUGGAUUAAAGUGGCGGUAUAUUUUAAUUACCACAUUUUUUAUAUAUUAGUGAUGACACUUGAUAAAACUUAGGAUUUAUAAUCCAUAAUUUUUUCAUGUAGUGUCCUCAACAACGUAAUCAAAUAGAUUGCGGGUAUUUCGUGUUGAGGUUUAUGCGGGAUACUCUUGCUUUGGGCCGAUUAUGAUUCCCACCGAUGUAUGUAUUACUAACUUAUGAGUUAAUUUUAUAUUUACACAUAUCUCAUAUAAUUAAAUAGUUGGAAUUAAUCAAAAUAUUUUGCUUCAUAGUAGUACUUUGAGGAAUUCAAGUGUGCAUUUUAUACAAAGGAUCAAGUGGACGAAAUCAAGAGGAGUGGUGUCAAUUCAUGAUAGAGCUCAAAGUUUUUCAUAAAUUUGUGUAAUUUUGUAGUAUAAUUGUAAUAUAUGUAAUGACUUGUAAAUGUGUACAUAAAUUUCGAGUAUAGGUAAUGACGUAAAUGUGUACAUAAAUUUGUAUAUAUUUGAUACAUUUAAGGCAAAAUUGUUUGAAUGGUAAUAUAUAUUUGUUAGCCAAAAAUUGGUAGAAAAAAGGCCAAAAUGGCAUGUAUAAAAUGUGAUUCUGCUGUCAAAUCUGGUUGAAAACAGGUAGAAAUUCUGGUUUAUAAACCUGGAAAAAUGUGGUUUAAAACAAAAGCUACAAAAAUUUUCGUAUACAUUAGACAGCGCUUUUGGAAAAAGCGCUGCUUAAGGGGGGCUUAGAAAGCGCUUUAGGCAAAGCGCUGUCUAAGGGGGGGGGGGGGGGGGGGGGCUUAGACAGCGCUUAUUGAAAGCGCUGUCUAAGCCCCCCCUUAGACAGCGCUUUGCCUAAAGCGCUGUCUAAGGUAUACCUAAAAAAAUUAAAAUAGGGGGGCUUAGACAGCGCUUUUCAAAAAGCGCUGUCUAAGCCCCCCUAUUUAAUUUUUUUAGGUAUACCUUAGACAGCGCUUUUGCCAAAAGCGCUGUCUAAGUAUACCUAAAAAAACUAAAAUAGAAGGGUUUAGAAAGCGCUUUGCCAAAGCGCUGUCUAAGGGGGGCUAGACAGCGACAGCGCUUUUAAGAUUUCAAAAAGCGCUGUCUAAACCUUUAGCAGCGGAGGUUUAGACAGCGCUUUAAAGCGCUGUCUAAGGCUAAAAAAAGCGCUGUCUAAGGUCUUGUUUGGCGUAGUGAGUGCAUAACAAUCAUAGUAAAAGGUAGAGAUCAGAGGUUCGAUUUUAAGGCCAAUAUUUUGGUUGUUUUCUCAGCUUUUUACCACAGUUGUUCCUUCCAAUUGUAGUGAAAGACUCAACACAACUUUUCACAACGGCUGUAUCUUUCAACUGCGGUCAUAUACUCAUUUGAGUUUAUUAUAACUUAUCUGAAAUGUUUAUUUCACCAACUACUCAUUCAACAUAUAACUUUUCAAUCUGAUAUAGAAAUUAAUAAUUUAACAAAUUAAGUUAUAUUGUAAUAACAAGUUACAAUAAUCAAUGUUUUCUAAACCUUCUUCAUUUCAUUCUCUGUGUCUCGCUUUUGGAGGGUUAGAAUUAGGUUUAAUGUUUGUGACUCUUCAACUAACAUUUUUUUAUCUACUAGUUCAUUGAACUAGUAAAGAAGGAAGUGUUGAUUGAAAAAUUACAAAUAUUAAACCAAAUUCUAACUCUCAAAGAGGGAGAUACGUAAAAUGAAAGGAAGAAUGCUCAAAAAGCAUUGAUCAAUGUAAGUUGUUUUCUAACAUAACUUAAAUUUUUAUAUUAUAAAUUUCUAAUUCAAUUAGAAAGGUUAUUUAGUUAGUGACAUGUUGGUAAAACACUCAAACCACAUAUGAUAUAAUAAACUCAUCUUCUAGGACAUGUUGGUGUAACGUAGUGAAAGUUCUAAUGUACAAGAUAUAUCAUUAAAAAUAACAAAAAUAUCAACAAUCUAACAUUCACAAUAACUUACCUUAGCAACAACAUACAACAUAUAUCAACAAAAACUAAAUCAUCAACAACAUACAACUUUUACCAAUAACAACAUACCUUAAACAACAUAAACAUAUAUCAACAAAAACAAAAUUAUCAACCACAACAUAUCUUAAACAACAUAUAAUAUAUAUCAACAACAUACAACUUUUAUUAACAACACACAACAUAUAUCAACAAAAACAAAAUCAUCAAUAACAUACAACUUUUAUCAAAAACAUACCUUAAACAACAUAAAACAUAUAUCAACAAAAACUAAAUCAUCAACAACAUAUAACUUUUAUCAACAACAUACAACAUAUAUCAAUAAAAACAAAAUAGUCAACAACAUAGAACUUUUAUCAACAACAACAUAGGUUAAACAAUAUACAAUAUAUAUCAAUAAAAAAAAACUAAAUAGUCAACAACAUACAACUGUUAUCAAUAACAACAUACCUUAAACAACAUACAACAUACAAUAUAUAACAACAAAAACAAAAUCAACAACAACAUAAAAUAUGGAAAUGUCUCACGUAUAUAUGUUAUACUUUUCACCAUGAUUGAUAAAAAUGACCUUGACUAAAUGUAGGUACAUAUAACAACGGUUUCUAUAUUAGACCAUGGUGAAAGGUAUUUUAAUUUUAAUAUAAAUAUUAAGAUUAUAAGUGUCACACCCAAUUUGUGAUAAAAAAAAGAAGAAAAUUGAUGGUGAUGGUGAUGUGAUUCAAAGCUUGUAUGGCUUAACAUGUUACUACAUUUAUUAUUAUGGACCACAGUGAAAUUGUUGUUCCUUUUUGGUUUAGCUACUUUAUGCAAAAAAAAACAUGGUAUUAACACAUGAUGGAUAUGAUGUUCUAGCCGGUGUGGUGCAUCUGCCCCAACUGCUUUUGUGAAGAAAGCCGAACAGAUGUCCCAGCAUGUGACAUUUGUCUGCAAGUCAAGGUUGUUGAGGUAUAGAGACUCAUUCCACGCCUUGAAGAUCCCGAUCCCAUUGGUUUAUUUAGUUGAGUUGUAAUUCAAUAUUGAUCACUUUGUUUGAGUUAUUGUUGUUGUUAAUCACUAGGGUUAGUGAUUGAGAGAAAGUGAGAGCGGGUUCUCAUGUUUAUGGGGAGUCCUAAAUAAAAACACAUUUAGUUUAGAAUUAAGAAGAGGGCCAUUGAACAAGGGGCUUGUUCAUUUAAGACACUUUUACUAAUUCUAUUAAAGAGUGGAUUUCCUUUCUUCGGUACAAUGCCCUGCAUAUGUAGGUACCGAACUGGGUUAUUAAUUCUAUUGUGUUUUUUAUUGUUUUCACUUUGAUUCAUAAUUGAUUUCAUAUUAUAUUCAAUCUGGUUUAAUAAGUUAGACAAGUUAUCCCAGACAUCUGGUCCUACAUAUAUCCCCCUAAGGAAUAAAAUUUUAAUUUGCAUCAGAGCAUGCACCUUAUUACGUUUGGAUGAGCUCCAGGAAAUAUAUUUUAUGUUCAUAUGGAUAACACAAAGGAUGGUCGGUCUGUCAAUACACCACCCGUUUUAGAUGGCUCCAAUUAUGAUUGUUGGAAAGAUAAAAUGGCAUCCUUUCUCAAAUCUAUGGACAAUAAAACAUGGAAAGUUGUGGUAAAAGGUUGGAAACACCAUGUGAUUACUUCUGAAGAUGGAUCAUCAACCUUAAAAGUUGAAGCUUAAUGGACUAAUACAAAAGAUAAUGAAGCUCUUGGAAACUCAAAGGCUUUAAAUUAUAUUUUCAAUGUUGUUGAUAAAAACAUAUUUAUAUUGAUAAAGACAUGUACUGAAAUAAAAGAUGCUUGGGAGAUUCUCAAAACUGCUCAUGAAGGUACAUCCAAGGUUAGGAUGUCAAGACUGCAUCUCCCCACUACUAAGUUUUAGAAUCUGAGAAUGAAUAAAGAUGAAUCUAUUUCUGACUUCAACAUUAGACCGCGUGACAUUUCCAAUACUUCCUUUGCUUUAGGAGAGAAUAUGUCUGAAGAAAAGUUGUCCAAAAAAAUUCUAAGAUCUCUUACCCAGAAGUUGUAUAUGAAGGUCACUGCAAUUGAAGAAGCCCAAGACCUUAGCAACGUGAAAGUUGAUGAACUCAUUGGUUAUUUACAAACCUUUGAGAUAGUGUUGAAUGAUAGAUAUGAAAAGAAAAACAAAAGCAUAAAUUUUUUGUCUAACACUGAAGAGGAUGAAGAUCAAGGUGAAAACCUAUCAGAUGUUAUGGCACUUAUUGGAAGAAAGUUCAACAAAUCCUUGAUAAGGCUGGAUAGACAAUGGAGGAUAAAUUUCCAAGACAAUGGUUCAGACAUAAGCUCCCAGAGCAAGAGAAAAUAUAAAGAUAAGUCUAACCAAGAAAAAGGAGUUUAAUAUCAUGAAUGUGAAGGAUUUGGUCACAUAAAAUCCGAAUGUCCUACCUUUCUUAAGAAACAAAAAAUGGAAUUGUCAAUCACUUGGUCUGAUUCUGAUGAUGAAAGUGAAGGAUAAUUAGCUAAAAAGUGAUAGCUUCACUGGAAAAUAUGACUCUUAUAGUGAGUCUAGUGAUGAAGAUACAUAAGAGCUUGCUGAAACUUAUAGAGAGUUGCUCAUUGAGUGGAAGGACUCUUGCAUGAGAGAAGAGAAACAAAAGAAGACCAUAAGUGGUCUACUAAUGGAAAAGGAAAAGCUUCGCUCGACCAUUGCAUAUCUAGAAGAAGAGGUCACACUGUUAAAGUUCAAACAAGAUAAUAUGACAAAUUUUGUAUGCAUGUUAAAUAAUGGUUCUGAUGUGUUAGAUGAGAUCUUGUAGAUUAGAGAAUAAGGCUAUAUGGUUUAACUACAGUUCCAUGAACAAAAAGUUCAAAGUUCCCUUUAAGAAGUUUGUUUCUCCCGAAAAGAAAGUUGAGUUUCUAAUGAAGAACCACAUGUCCCAGUAUCCUGCUCAACAAGUGUACCCUCAUAAGAAAGACAACAAGAAAGCAUCUUGGAGGUGUCACCACUGUGGUAGAUAUGGCCAUAUAAGAUCUUUUUGUUAUAAAUUAUAUGAAUAUCCUCAAUCUUAUAGUCAACAUGAGUUCAAUAGAAUGAAAGGGAAGACAAAUCAAGAUAAGAAAGUAUGGAAACCCAAGGAAAAUGGAAGUUGUCUCAUUGCUUAUACCUUUAUUAGAGCUUCAUCAAGAAAAUAUUGGUAUUUUGGUAGUGGAUGAUCAAUGCACAUGACUGAUGAAAAAAGUCAUCUUGAAGAGUUGAAACCAUAAUCUAACAAUUAUGUCACAUUUGGUGAUGGAGCUAGAGGAAGAAUCAAGGUCAUAGGUAAACUAGUUAGUCUAAGUUUUCCUUGUCUUGAUGAUGUGUUGUUAGUAGAAGGAUUAAUUUCUAACUUGAUCAACAUAAGUCAACUAUGUGAUCAAGGUCUGAAUGUUAGCUACUACAGGUCUGAAUGUAUCAUCUCUAGCAAAGAUCAAGAGGUUUUAAUGAAGGGUUCAAGAUCCAAAAAUAAUUGUUAUAUGUGGAUAUCUCAAUCCUCAUCCAAAAUUAAGACCAUAGGGGAGAUCAUAUCUGAAGAUAUUAUGAAAGAAGUGCCAAAACUCAUGAUUGAAGAAGAUAAAAUUUGUCAAGUGUGUCAAAUAGUCAAUAUGUCCCACAAGAUGCUUCAGCAUCCUACCUCCACUAAAAGCAUGAAGUUACUUCCUAUGAACCUCAUGGAAUCCACAUAAGCAAAAUGGCAUGUGUGGAAAUGAUAACAACAGGAUGGUAAAGCAAAACUCAUCUGUGACUAUUUGAUUGGAAAAAUUCCAGACAGGAUGUUGGAACUUUAUGUCCAACGUAUACAGUAUGAGGUUGAGAAGAUUCUAAAUGGAGAAUGCAAGAAAUUUCUUGGGAAUCAAGCUGAAAUUGAAGAUAGUAUGGAAAUUGAAUUUGAAAGGCUAAAGGGUACUAUUGACUUUGCAUGGGUGAGAAGUUAAAACUAAGGAGCUGUGAGAAAGGAAAGUUUCUCUCUUCUGCUAUCAUUACUGCACAAGAAAUAAGGCACAUAAUUCCUAUUUUAGUGCAUUUUCAAAACUUCUCAAUUUCUACACGUCUGAGGAUUUCUCUCUCUCUCUCUCUCUCUCUCUCUCUCUCCUAUAUAAUAUAUAUAUAUAUAUAUAUAUAUAUAUAUAUAUAUAUAUAUAUAUAUAUAUAUAUAUAUAUAUAAUAUAUAUAUAUAUAUACAUUUUCUCACCUUCAUCUCUAUCAAACCAAUUUUAAAAUGAGCCAAACACCUACUGAUGUUAAAACUUCUAAACCCAAGCCUACCACUAACGCAUAUGAGGUUAAGAUGCUAGGGGUUAAAAUGUGGGAGAAAGAAACACCCAAGAAAUCUAGGGUGCCUGAAUCUAGAAAAAUGGAUAAUGAACCUAUCAUGUAUUUAAACCCAAAACCUCUGAGCUUUAACAAGAAGAACAAAGAGCACUUCCUACAAGAAGAAGAAAUCUUAUGAAAAGGUUAGUACAUAUGGAAAUAAAUCUUAUGUACCUAUUCAUAGUACUAUUGAAUCUAUGUCUAUUAGUGAGGAAGAUGUGUCCAAUUCCCCUUAGAAAAACAUUGUUCAUGCUAAUACCAAUGUCGAGAAACUACAUGUGGAACUACAUGUUGAAUCACAUGUUGAUUCACAUGCUGAAUCGAAUGCUGAAGCAUUUGUACCAGCAUCUGAUGAACCCCAAGUUGAACCCACAUCUGUGCCUAUUGGUGAAACACUUGCAUACACUAAUGAAACACAAGUUAAAGCAAACCCUAGUGUCAAUCCUAUCCAGGUUGAUGGACAUCUGGUUGAAACACCUGUCUUUGAUAAGUUUUUUGAUGACAUUGUCAAUGAUAACUAUGUCUCCUCUGAAGAUUUUGCUGAUGAUAUCCUCAAUGAUAACCAUCAAAAUGUAGAGGCUGAAGUUAUAAGUAAGACUUCUGAUGGAAAGAAUGAGCCCAAUAAAGAAGUGAGUAAUGAGAAGCCUCAAAAUGAAGAAGAUAUGAGACAAGAGGAAUGGAAUAAAGAGGCUAAUGAUGAUUAUGAUGAGAUUACAAUUGCUUACAUCAUGCAUAAGCUUAUUGAUAAUGUUUAUAAGCCUCAAUAAAAAGACACUCAAGUAAAAGCUAGAGAAAUGACGAGUCUAGAUGAAGAGACUGAAUCAGAUGAACAACCUGUUGUUAAAGUUAUGAAGAGUACAAUAGUCUAUGACUGAAGGAGUGAAAGAGACAAAAACAAAUGUUCCUCCAAAAACCUAUUUGAAGAACAUAACAAUUGUGAAGAAGAAAACUCCUCAAAAUUCCCUUGUGAGUAACUCCAUUAGAUAAUGUAUCUUUCCAUUUUGAAACAAGUGUCUGAAGGUGGAAAUUGUUUUAUCAAAGAAGGGUUGUUUAUGAAAGAGAGCCGAGAAAAAAUGUCCUUGAGUAGAAAAAGGUUAUAAAUAUGUUGUAGGAUGCAGGAUUGAUUAAGAUUGUUUCAAAUAUUGGACCAUGCUAUGAAAUACUGGUUAAAUAGUUCAUUGUGAAGCCGUCAUCUGACUGUUAAAGGUAGUCAUGAGUAUAGGAAGGUCUAUGUUAGAGGGAAGUGUGUGAAAUUCUCACCCUCAAUUAUUGAUGCUUAUCUGGGAAGAAACAAGUCAGCUUAGUCUGAAAAAGUUCUAUCUAUAGACAAGAUAGAAAAAGAAAAAAUUAUUGGUCAAGUGAAACAAUAGCCAACAAAGUGUUAAUUUCUUGUGGUAAAUUGAGUGUUAAGUAUGUUGUUUUGAAUAGGAUAGGGGCAGCAAAUUGGGAAUCCACUAAUCACAGUUCAAGCAUCACUCCUACUUUGGCCAAGUUGAUCUUUCUAAUUCGAACCAAGUCUAAGAUUAACUUUGGUGAGUAUGUGUUUAAUUAGACCAUGAAACAUGCUGAUUCUUUUGUAGUGAAGCUACCAAUAGGUUUUACAUGCUUAAUCACUGACAUUAUCUUAAAGUAACACCCUGAAGUUCUUCACCCUCAAGAAACUCCAUGCAAAAAGAUUGGGCCUCUGACCCUUGACAAGAAAAUGUUUAUAUGGACACAUGUCCCAGACAUUGUGGUCAAGCAUCAUGGUCAGACUGCUGGUGGAAGCUCUUCACUUGUAUCCAAUGCCACCAGAAAAGAUGUGUUGUCUAAGCUGAUGGAGGUUUCAAAGGCUCUACAAGAGACUAUUACCUCAAGUACCAUCAAGAAGAGGAGUGUGGAUGAAUUUAUCAAAAAAUGUUGAUAAGGGAGAAGGAUUUUGAGGAUGAAGACAUAACUGACUAUGAAGAAGAAGAGGAAGAAAAUUCUGCUAGUGGUAAAGAAGCUGACAGCUCAGAAUCCUCAAGUGCAGAAGCUAACAACUCAGAAUCCAACUCUUAAGACUGAUGUUAACAAGUUGAAGUUAUGUUGAAUCUUUUGGCCUUUUAUGUUUUUAGGCUUAUAUUUGUGGUUAUGUAAUAACCUUGUAUUAUGCUUCUUCAAUUGCACUCAUCUGUGUUUUGGUUUUGUUACCAAUAAUUGUCUUGAUGAUCUAGCAUCUUGUUCAACAUUUGUGAUAUUGUUUGAUGUUUGUCUUCUCCUGAUCCAUUGUGUUUGUGCUAACAUACUGACCUCCGUGUUGACUGUUUGGUUUCUAUGAGGAACACCUUUGUCAAAUUAUGGAAAAAAGGGAGAGUAAUGGUAUGAUUAAUGGUGUGUGGUGUAAUGGUGUGACUAAUAUAUAUUGAUGUGUGUGUGUAUGGGUUGUGCUGAUCUAAUAUGUUGCUGACUAUGUGAUUGGUAUUAACUGUUCUGAUCUGACUAUGUGUGCAGACAUGCUAAAUUUUCCGCCUGGUAUCUAGCCCUGAAUUAUGGUAUGUUUAUUGAUGUAUGCUAGUAGUAGCUUCUAAAUAUCGUCCACUAACUACUAAUUAUGUGUGCAUGACUAACUAGUCUUAAUGAUUGCAUGAAGCAUCAUUGUGUGUCUGAUUGACUGAUGUAUAACAACCAUAUAUCUUAUGACUUUUGUUGUUGUUAUGUGUUUGCUCUGAUGUGUGCUACUGAUAUUUCUGUUGUUGUUGUUAUUUGAUCUAUAUGCUUGUAUGUAAGGUGCUUAAUGUUUUUCAUAUCUUGGAUGUUUUUGAAGAAUGUUGUUUUUCCAAAAUUUGCCAAAGAGGAGAUUAUUGUUACUUUCUGGAUUAGCUAAUUUAUGUUAACAACAUGGUAUGAACACAUGUUGGACAUGAUGUUCUAGAUGGUGUGGAACAUUUGGCCCCAACUUCUUUUGUGAAGAAAGUCAUAUGUGGGAACAGAUGUCUCAGCAUGUGGCCCUUGUCGGCAUGACAAGCUUGUUGUUGUAUACGUGUGUUUUCCAAUUGUCUUUAGUGCAUCUUUCUAUUACUUGUGCAACAAGUGUUGUUGAUAUCUAUUAGCUAUCUGAUUUGUUUGAUUAUUUAAUUAGAUUAAAUUUAAAUCAUGGAGAUUUUAAAUUUAAAUUCAAAUCAAAUAUUUAUUUCAAGUGGAGCUGAUUUGAUGGAAAAAAAACCUAACCGAAUCUCCACAAUAUCUGGACGAAAUUAGAGCUGCUAAAGCUCAUUGGAAAAAGCCCAGAAAUUGGAUUUCUAUAUAGAGAGACUCAUUACACACCUUAAAAAUUACGAGCCUUAGUGAUAGUUUGUGUUUUAGGAUGAGUAUGUUGUUAAUUGUACACCAUACUAUUGCUUCAAUCACAUGACAUAGUAGUUAGUUUAUUUAGUUGAGUUGCAACUCAACAUUGAUCAUUUUGUUUGAGUUAUUGUUGUUGUUGAUCACUACGGUUAAUGAUUGAGAAAAAGUGGUAGGGGGUUCUUAUAUUUAGUGGGAGUCCUAAGUAGAAAUACACUAAGGGUAGAAUUAAUAAGAGAGACAUUGAAUAAAGGGCUUGUUCAUUUAAGACACUUAUUAAAGAGUGAAUUUUCUUUCUUAGGUAGAGUGCCAUCCAUAUGUAGGUGUUAUUUGCAUCAAAGUGGGUUACCAAUUCUAUUGUGUUCUUUAUUUUUUUCACACUUAUUCAUAAUUGAUGUCAUGUUAUAUUAAAUCUAGUUUAAUAAGUUGGACAAGUUGUCCCAGACAUCUAAUCCAACAUCUGUCCCCUGAGGAACAUAAUUUUAGAAAUUUAUAUUAAUAAAAGAAAUAAAAAUGCAGGCGCAUAAUUAAGGGUUAUUAUUUCGGUUGGCAUAUUAUCUGAGGUAAAAGCUUGUUACCUUAUGUGUAUUUUGUAGUAGCAUGUGUUCUAAUCAAGUCAAAAUCAAUAGGUCAAAUUGAACCUGACGAUCUAGAAGAAGAUGCAAAUUGCCAAGAUGAUAGAAUUCACUCAUUAAUGACGUGAUUGAAAUCGAACACAUUACAAGUCGGUGUGAUAUAAAGGUUGACGAUCAACAAGUGUCUUCGACUAUCUCGUUGUCAAUAAAUCUUAUGGAUGAAGAAUAUGAAGAGUAUGAGUCUGAAGACAAUAUCGAAUUAGAUGAAUACAAUGAAAAAUAUUAGGAUAUAUAGUUUGAAUAAAUUACUUUUGUAAUAUUAACUAUUUUUACUUUGUGCGUUUUGCGUAUUAUAUUUCUCUAAUUAAUGAACUUAACUCUUCAUACUUAUAAUAUUGUUUUGUGUUGGUAUAUUAAUUAUUGUGUUUAUCUCUCAAAAUUAACAAAAAUGCCACCCUGACUAGGGAUAAGGGCAAGGGUAAAACCCACUAUCACACGAGGAUUAUUACACACGAGGUGGCUCAGUACCAUAUGUUUAUACCUAUGUUAUAGUCUAGUCAGACUCCCAUGCAUACAUUGAUCCCUACUUCAUCCAUUAUGCUCCACUCAUAGCUACAUGUCUCACUUUACUAUUAUUCACUCAGGGUUUCUCUACAUUUCCAUUUGGAUAUCAAUCAACUUUUUUUUGUCUCCCCUUCAAUAUGUACCCUAGCAAUCUCAACCCUUAUUUGUUCUAGUUCCUAGGUAUGCACCUCCUCAGCAGCUUGGAGGAUCCUGGAUUCCUCAUCCCCAAUAUAUACCUUCAUCAUCUAAGCAUCAUGAUGAAUUCUCAACAAGUGUAUCGAUAGUUUCUCAGUAAUAAAAAGAUGGAAUCCACCGGGAUGACUUUUUAACAAGACAAAAUGUGUGCACUGUAUAGAAAAUAGUAAAAUGGGGGUUUCGAGUUUGCAAUGCGAAAAGAAAAUAAGUGUUUAAACAAAAUUACGAAAGCGGACAGGUUGUGUUUAUAAUCCCUUAGUUCUCUAUUAUUGAUGUUUAAUGUCUUAUAUGAAUGAUCUUAUCAUUAUAACCCACAACGAACUAACAAAGUCGAUAUAAUCGAUCGCUUGCAAAAUAACUCAUUAAUCACUACUCAGAGCUUUUUAUCCCUAGUCCACCAGCGUAAGCAAGAUUAGGCGAUGCAUAAAAUCUUAAUUUCCUAUGCCACUACCCGGGGUCUCCUAUUCCUAUUCAACCAACAUAAGUACAACAAUUGCCCUAGGCCUAACACAUAGACUAAUGGUCAGUAUUUUGUAUGUGCCCACAAUCAAUUUAAAAGAGUACCUCACAUAAAAAGCAUUAAGAAGAACAAGCAGUUGAAUGGGAUUAUUGAUCAAAAGGUUCAUACAAAGUCAAAUCAAUAUAUUACCCAAUAAUAUUGAAAUAAGUUCAUCAUAACACAACCUAACCUAUAGGAGCUUAGCUACUCAUAAUUCAAAUUACAAUAUCAAAAAUGAUAGAUGAAAAUAGCAUGUGAAUUCCCUUGAAGUAAUGGCCUCCAAUGACUUUCACUGCCCUCAAAAUCAUCCUUGAUGCUGUAAAAAUAGUCCUUUGUUCUACAAAAUUUGUAACCAUUUUCAAAGUGCAUAAAUUCCCCUUAAAAAGAGCUCAUAAUGAAUCAGACGCAUCAGAAAAAGCCCAGAAAAAGUAGUCAUCGCGUGCGCGAUGCAACUUUUAUAUCAUUAUCGCACAUGCGAUGCUGCAUGAUGGUGCGCAUGAUUUUUCCUGAAGUUGCACUCUUUCUCUCCUUUUUUCACCUAACUUUUCACUAAGUCCAAUUUCUUCACACUUAGCUAUUUUUUCCUCAUUCUUUGGUCUUUCUUCUUCCUUUAGACUCAUUUUCACUUGUUUUAAUCUGAUUCUUUGACUAAAUUCAUGCAAUUACAGAUUGUCAUUACAACCCCAAACUUGAAUUGUUGCUUGUCCUCAAGUAACUUGCCUGCGACUACACAUUUCAACAUAAAACAAGUCGCACAAUAACAAUUACCCGUGCUGACCUAUUCUACUUCAGUUCUGGAUAAUGCAACACUUGCUUAUUUCUUACCAUGCUAAGAGACAAGCGAGUUACCAAGAAAGUGACACAUACCGUUGGAACUUUUUCGAUCCAAUUCACAACCAACAAAAUUAGAAUCCAAGAAUCCAACUAAACAAUUAAUCCCUUUGGAGUACCAUAAGCUCAUAGGUGGUGUGUUAGUGAGGUACUUCACAGUGUGUUUGACUGCAAUGAUGUGCAAUUUAUUAGGGUUUGUUUGAAAAUGUGCACACAAACAGACAACAAACACAAUAUCAAGAAGAAAUGCAGUAAGAUAAACAAUAGAAUUGAUCAUACCUUGACGUUUCCUUUCUUCAACCGCUUGCCUUACCUAAUCCUUAUCCAUACUGCAUGAAGUGCUCAUGGGAUUUGAAAUAGUUUUUUUGUUUUUUCUAUACCAAUUCUUGUUAGUAACUCUUUAUAAUAUUUAGCUUGAUUGAUGAAUGUGUCUUCCUUUAAUCGAUGCAUUUGUAACUUAAGAAAGUUUUGAAACUCUUCCAUUAUAGAUAUUUCAAAUUCAUCGGCAUCACAUCGAAAAUAAUCUUUGUACAAGGACUUGUUAAUAGUAUUGAAAAUAAUAUCAUCGAUAUAUAUCUUAAUCAUAUUCAUUUAAAUUUUCACUAAAAAAAAUUAAAAUUUCAGAACCCUAAAAUCAAUUUUCUAUAUAACUAAUGAAAUUUUUUACUAUAGCAAUCUAUCAAGUGUAUAUUUCAAGUUCAUCUCAAUCAAUAUUAACAGAAUAAAUCGAGAGUCUUAUACAAUGGAUAUACAAUGUAGUGAGAAUUUAAAAAAUGAUUUCAUAAUAUGCAGUUGCAAUGAACAUCAGAGCAAUCGCAAUUGCAACUCCAACACCAGAUUAAAACUAUGCAUUAAGCAACAUUAAAUUCCUAUAAAAACCUAAUUAUUAUAGUCAUUAUUGUCUUGUAUAUAUAAGUUGCUGCAUCAUGGGAGAGUAUGCAACUCAUUAAAAAUUGAACAAAGUAUCAAAAUUUAAGGUACAGUUAACUGCAUCAUUCAUCAGGUUCAGUCACAUAAAGCAAUAAAAUGACACUUGUCUAAAUUUAUUAAAUAUAUAUAAGUUUUAAGAGAAUAUAUAUAAGCUAUCUUGACCUUACCAAAUAAUAUAUAUAAUUACACUGCAACAGAAUCAAUAGCUAUCAAAUUGAAAAGGUUCAUAAAAUGCAGUUGUUGGAAGCAGAUCCCAAAUAUUCUCCACCAUCUGAGGAGUCAAAAGUACAUCUUCAUCAAAACCCUCAUAUGAGCAUUCUCCACCAGGUUUCACCACUUGUUCAUCAGAAUCCGCAAGAGGAGGCACAGCCACAAC